rnacentral:ncRNA from 1 species
GUUUCGGGGCGGGGUGAAAUUCCCCACCGGCGGUGAAAGUCCGCGACCUGCAUUUGCAGCUGAAUCGGUGCAAUUCCGAUACCGACGGUAUAGUCCGGAUGAAAGAA